rnacentral:rRNA from 1 species
UACAGAGGUCUCAAGCGUUGUUCGGAAUUACUGGGCGUAAAGGGCGCGUAGGCGGCCUGCUAAGUCACACGUGAAAUCCCUCGGCUCAACCGGGGGAACUGCGUGUGAUACUGGCGGGCUUGAAUUCGGGAGAGGGAUGUGGAAUUCCAGGUGUAGCGGUGAAAUGCGCAGAUAUCAGGAGGAACACCGGUGGCGAAGGCGGGUCUCUGGGCCGAUACUGACGCUGAGGAGCGAAAGCGUGGGGAGCGAACAGG